rnacentral:lncRNA from 1 species
AUGAUUAUUCUCCUUCCAGUUACUCAGGCCAAAAGCCCCGGGGUCGGCCUUGUUCCUCCGUCCUUCAAGUGCCACGUUCAGUCUCAAGCAGAUCCCGCUGGCCCCAGUCCAGCUCUCUCUGCCACCUCCCUCUGGCCUCUCUGGUCUAAGCCCCGCUCCGUCCUCACCCCAAUACCUGCUGGCUUCUCCCCGCUUCCGUCUGCCCCGCACUCUGUUCCCGUGUUAGCCAGACGCUCAGAUGAAAAGCCGGGACACGUCAACCCAGCACACGCUGCCGUGAAGCCACGACCGCCAGCCCCCGGGUACCCAGCCUCUCCCCGAUCCUGUCCAUUACACCCCAGACGCCUCUCUGCUCCAGCUGUGGGGCCCUGUGGAUGCUCCGGUGCUCCAGGCUCGCGUCUGCUUCAGCACUCAGUGCAUUCUGUUCCCUCUGGAAUGUUCUCCCCAGGCAUCGGCAAGUUCUUCCCUCCCCUCCUCCUGGGUUUAUUCAGUCCCGACCCCUUUUCGGUGAGGGCUUCCCUGGCCUUGCAAGCUCAGAGUUCAGGAUUCCCGCUCCUGACCCUCCUGUCCCCGCUGCUCGGACGGCUCUCCUUCCUUAGCGCGUGGAUCUGGAACACGGGAUGUUUCGUCAUCUGUUUCUCCGGCGAGAGGGUGAGUUCUGGUGAGGAAGACACUUUGGGUUCACAGUUGCGUCCUCAGCGCCCCGUGCAGGGUGGCCACGGGGUCAACGCUCAGCAAAGAUCGGGCGGGAUGUCACCACUCCCGCUACUGUGCUAUCAGCGCCUGGGGCAAUCUUUUCGUCUCCGGGGAUACCCCGACUGGGGUGCUUGUCCGCACCCCGGAUCCCGUGUACCUGGGCACCAGCUUCUUGUACAAAUGACUUCUUUCGCACUUUCGUUUCCAAGCUGUAAAUGGGCGGGGGGUUGGCGGAAGCCCCUCCGAGGUCCUCCCCGGUUCAAAUGCUCUAAGGCUGUGCCAUGGCCUCCAAGGUGGCUCAGCUCCCGAGAGACACGACGCGCCCUAAUCCCUGGCACCCGUGCCCGUGACCUUAUUUGA